ACGAACGUUUCGUCCUCAAAAAAAAGCAACUUGCUCCACGGCCAAAGUCGAAAUGUUUCAGCGCAGUGAUGCUGUCAAAAAGGGAAGCUGCGCUGACAUGCCAGUGAUUUUACGACUUCGAAACAUCAGUCUGCACCAGCUCGGAGUAACAUUUAUGAUAGGGACGCCCAGGUCAUAAAAGACGGCACAGCGAAUAGACAUGGUUAUUUUUUCUUCUUUUUUGGAGAUAAACAGCUUUCAUACUUUUAUGACUAUUCGAUAACCGGUUCGCGGGGUUACCAUACAAACGAAUGCUAAGCGUUGGAGCGUUCAAAAAGCAUGCCAACUUAAAAGCAUUCAAUCAUUGCAUGCCGACUGAAGAACAACGCCAUAUGUUUCCAUAUGUUUUUUUUUGUGACGUGAAUGGAAGUGUUUUAGCUCAAGCGGACAGUGCAGUGUAACACUUCGGGAAGUGGGAAAACGCACAACGAAUUGUGCACUGGAAAAACCCUUGGAGGAAAAAGGUGGAGACAACAAAGCAAAAAAAAAAGAAAGAAAAAACUGUAACAUGCCGUAUACCAUAGUAAUAAUUGAUGAUACCACACACGGUGAGAGACUGCUGGCUGCGCCAGAAAAAUGGGUCGUAACUCCAACCAAAGGAGUUGCACAUCUUUACUGGCCCGACACGAAUCUGGUUGACAAUGUGAGGGAACUGUGGGAAGACGAUCAAAGCGUUCCAACGGAGGAGUGGGACAAAUGGGAAUGCAAAAUAGUGCAGCAAAAUAUUGAGUCGCAAGCAAAGGCGGAAAUUUAUUUACAGAAUUUACAAAAGUUCGAUUGUACGGUUAAAGCGAGUUUGACAGCUUCGACUAGCAACGCCACUGUUACCAAUGUCACGUUGGGCUAUCCUGCUCCGCCAGCAAACCAGCCGAAUAGUGGAAGGAUGAUAAACAGCAGCUGCAACAAGACUUCAGCGUUAGAACGGGAGGUAUUGGGCCCUUCGCCGAGACCGAUGGUAUCGAGCAACCCAUUAAACCAACGAGGAGACAACAAAAGGCGUAAUAAAUUAUCAAUACAUAACACGGAUCAAUACUAUGGUCUGUAUGAAGAACUUUGCAAUUUACAGCAAAUAUUGCGAUCAUUUGUUACGUCCCCAACGGGCUCGACACAAAAGGAGCUAACAACAAGCGGACCAAAUAACCCACAUAGCGCGAGAAGCGAACCGAAAGACGAUGCCAUGGAGAUGAAACAAAAGCUAUUCGGUCUGCUUCAAGAGCUGAAGGUUAUGAUCAAAGGCGAUCAGGAAGAGACAAGAGCUAAACUGAAUGAAGUAUCGAAACAAAUCCAAUCAAACACGUCCAAGAGUCGGUUGAGAAAGAAGAGAAGAGAAGAGAAGAGAGAAACGGUUAUGGCAAAAUCGGCAAUCCCGUCUGCAACUCCGAACAAACCCAAAGUGUAUCGUCUAACGACCCUAGAUGAGGUGAAGAAGUUUGAACAUCGUUUGAAUGAUCCAAUCUUUCAGCAGAAGGCUCGCAAACGGGUGAAGCGUGCUGUUGCUCGCGAGGAUGGGCCUGGCAAAUGUAUGAAGCGCAUGUGGGACAUUAUGUUCGAUAAAGCGCCUAUCGAGAAGUUUAGCUGGGCUGGCACGAAUUCAAAAAUUGCACUGCGUGAUUACAAGAACAUCGUCGAUCUGUACAAGUACGGUGGUACCACCGAUGCAAACCACCCGGUGAAUGAUAUGCAGGUGAGAGCGUUUUUUCUUAAAAGUAUCAAGUACGCGACAGAUUUGAAGAAUAUACAGAAUUGUAACGAGAAAAAGGCACGGCAAGCGAAAUGUGAUCAAAAUCGUAAACCAUCAUCAAGCUGGUGGAGCGUGCAGGAUGCAUGGCUGGAAGAGGAUGUGCAUGAACAAGAUGAAAGCGGUGGUGUACAGGAGGAAAGUACAGAGCAGUAUAAUACCGGCGAACAGGAAGAAUACGUCGAAGAGUAUGAAUGCGUUGAUGAGAUGCAAAAUUCAGUUCCAGAGGAAAAUUGUAUAGUGUUUUGCGACUCGAUAGAAACAUUGAAUCAAUUCGAGAUCGAUUUAAAUGACCCAAAAUGCCAAGCUGAAACAAUAGAAUGGAUCGAGAAGACGUUUGGUCAUAUUGAGAAUGCGGAAGAUCGGAUGACGUUAUUGCUGGAGCGAUUAAUUGAUGAAAACGUCUUGUACAACUUUUGCUGGAUGAACGUUGGUAGUGGAAAGUGUUCGUUGAUAAAGUACAUAAACUUUAUCCGACUGUUUCAAUACACCUCCAGAACUGUACUACAUCAGGCUGUAAUGAUCGACCAUGGUUGUGUGGAAGUUUUUUUUAAGAAUUUAUUAGAUGUCUAUGAUAAUGUUGAGGUAGAACCGUCAAAUUGUACUGCUAGCAGCAUGGUUGACCUGUCUGGUGGUACAGUUGUCGGCUCGUGCGACUUAACAGCAUGCCCCGAUGGUUCAAGCCCCGAAUGGAACGUGCCUCCAAACGUAUGAUUGUGACUAUCCUGCUAUGGACAAUCAAUAACCCUCCAUUAGGCCCCUCCCAUACGUAUGAAUUACCAUGCUACAACGGGCGAACCAAUAAGUUUCUUUUAGCCAAACAUAUUAGUGGCUUAAGCAGGCCUAGAUCGACUACGAUCUUGGCGCCUAAUACUAAUAUUAAUAUGAUUAGAUUACACUUACCAAGUUAAGGUCAAAGUGAAUGUAUGUAUCAGGAGGGAUUUUCCAGUGCAAUUUGACGUCCAAGAAUGAAAAGAGAAAGUUAACCCGAUUUGAUAGUUACAUUUACAACAAACUGGGUGAUUUUAUGGUUUUUCUUUAUACUAACUCAUAAGUAUAUCCUAAAUUUUCACUAUUUUACACACAUUUUGGAAACAAUUGCCCGUCUGAUGAACGGAACUAAAGUGUCCUUAAGAUCUUAGUCUCAAUUUAAAAAAGGAGGUUUAGAAAGUAUUUGGCUUCUCAACGAGACACCGUGUCAACGUCAUGGCACACUAAAUUUUGUUAUGUUUUUCGAUGGAUUGGUGAAGAAGAAUGCUAUAAGCCCACUUAAUUACCUAUUACUCUCCAUAUAUCGUAGGUGUGAACCCGAAUUUAAAAUAAAUAAAACAAUAAACGAUGCAUACGAACGAAAUGUGAUUAAGGGCCAUGCUUCAGCUAUGAAUUCAAAAUUGGUUCUGGUUGGUUAUUUUCCGCCAUGAUCUUCUGGGUUUGAAAUAUUUCAAUCACCGCGCGCGUAGCUGACAGAUUUCGCGGACUGUCAAAUGACCGUGGCAUUGUUUUGUUUAUAUUUCUCCGUACCGCGGACUGCGCGAACACCAAGCCAGCCGACAACGCUACACGACGUGAUUUCUAGCAAAAUUAAUGGGCCUCUUGGCUGAGCAUUGUUUGUUUUAUGUUUCAAAUCGUCUGUGAAUAUCCAGAGUAAACGGAAGUACUCUAACGAUAGCUGCUGAGCCUUCAUUGUGAGUGGAGGUAAUACGAAGGAGACAACGCUUACCGGAAAUAGCGCGCGUAAAGUAAGGAUGCCGUACGUUUUGGUAAAAAAGACGAAAAGCAAUUUGGGCAGGAAGGAGGUUGCGGUAGCGCCCAGCUCUUGGAUUCACAAGGAUGGGAAAGGAACAACGUACGUUUCCUUGCCGGAUGCAGUGUGUCCCAAAAAGAUAAGAGCCCUAUUGGAGAAGGAAAGCAACCCAACGAAGGAAUGGGAAAAGCAUGAGUGUGAGAUCUUGAGCACAGAUAUUCCAACGCUAACGAUGGCGUAUACCAUCAUUGAAACGAUGCAAAAACAAAACAAAGUGCUAGGUGGUAGGCCAUCACAGCUAAUCAAAACCAGUUUAGAUAAGACGGAAAAAGCUUUGCCAACCAGACCACCGGUUCAAGAGGCCCCCAAGGUGGUAAGCAAGCAGAAACAACCGGAUAAGCCCAAAACAUUGCCGAAGCCGCACCCAGAACCUGACUACGACCCAUUUGCCGAUAUACCUAACUGGCACGUGCCCGAGAAGCAUCGCACGCCAGCUACCAGUCCAACAGAAGAUCUACAAAUGACCGUUGAGGAGUGUGAGCCAACCGACCCGUUGCAGCAGUUGUUUAGUAGUGCUGUGGUAAAUCAGGAGCAGAGCGAUGAGGAUGAUCCCUUUCGGGAUGUAAGUCCUCCCCUAAAAGAUCUGCAAUUGACAGCCAACUGCGAGCAGAGGCCGCCGGUUGAUAGUACGGAUCAGUUUUUUACCCGCAUCAACAAGGAAUUGAACAAACAACAUGACGUGCUGGGAGAUGUUUCAUAUGCUCAACUGCUCGAUCUGCUGUACGAGCUAAAGUGUAUGAUACGCACUAACCAAGAUGAGUUGCGGAGGAAAAUUAACGAGGGAUUUUCGCGGUUGCAACAAACCGUGCUGUCGGUAUUAGCCAAGGAUAAUACGGACGAUAGUGCAGCAUUCGAAGAGAAGACUGUAACUUGCAAGGAAGAGUUGGAUGAAUUGGAAAGCCGACUACAGGAUGAAGCGUAUCGUGAACAGGUGCACCGUUGGAUGGAUCAUAUCAUCCCGCCUGAAACGAAUCCCGAAUUGCGCAUGACGAACAUUCUCCAUAAACUGGUGGACAACAAGCUUUUAGCGCAGCUCGAGUGGAACCCCAAACCAACGCACCCCGAGAAGAUUCGUCUGGAGACGUACAGGCAUUUUUGCAAGCUCUUUGAAUAUGCCGGCACGACUACGGAACACGUAGCGAACGAUUGGUUCGUAGAGUGUUUCUUCAGAAAUAAACUAAAGAACAACGCCCACACCAGGGUAAACAUAAGUGAAAAGCGGAAAGGCGUAACAGAAAGUAAACCGGUAAAAAUAGCCCGAACCGAAACAGAGCUGAACACGUGUGAGGAAACGGUUAACCUAUUGGAAACGGAUACCGUUUCUACGGCAAACCAAGAUGACGAUGUAUACGAGAUAAUCGAGCUGGAUGGUGAUGAAGAUAAUGCGCCGACGACAGCAACGACUGCCACUCCCACCGAGACCACAGAGUACGUGGAGGUUUAUCAUAUAACCAGCUUUGACGGUAUGAAUGAUUUCGAGGUACGCUUGAAAGAUCCCGACUAUCUCAGCGUUGUUCACGGAUGGAUAGACAAUGCUGUUAAGCAGACGAUCGUCCCAGCCGAACGUAUGGGAAUCAUAUUAGACCAACUAGUUGAUAGCAAGUUCUUGCAGAAUUUCGAUUGGACUGGCACCCGCAAUGGAAAGGUGGCGUUAAUUGGUUACAAAAACUUCGUUCGGCUCUUUGAAUACGCCGGUACCAUUACGCCACAAAAUCGAGCGUGUCAUUGGGAUGUAGCAAAGUUUUUUCAACAGAAAUUUAAAGCCAUGAAAUAGAGCAUCGAACUAGACAUUGUCCCUAAGACCCCUUAGUAAGUAGUGUUAUGCUAAAGGUUGACCGUACGCUUUUAAUGUAAAAUUGGUUUAAGAUCCUUACAUUGUUCUCUUUUUAGCUACUACAUCUACUGCAUUGUCAUUAUAGACAGUAGCACACUUUUAUGUUUUUUUAGUGCCAAGUGGUUUGAACUAAUGUCUUAUUUGUAACCUGUUAUCUACAUAAUAAAAUAAACUAUAGUUACACAAGUCGGUGUACAACUCGCUUGUGGA